rnacentral:rRNA from 1 species
UACGUAGGGGGCAAGCGUUGUCCGGAUUUAUUGGGCGUAAAGAGCGUGUAGGCGGUCCGGUAAGUCCGCUGUGAAAGUCGGGGGCUCAACCCUCGAAUGCCGGUGGAUACUGUCGGGCUAGAGUACGGAAGAGGCGAGUGGAAUUCCUGGUGUAGCGGUGAAAUGCGCAGAUAUCAGGAAGAACACCCGUGGCUAAGGCGGCUCUCUAGUACGGUACUGACGCUGAGACGCGAAAGCGUGGGGAGCGAACAGG